UACAGAGGUCCCAAGCGUUGUUCGGAUUCACUGGGCGUAAAGGGUGCGUAGGUGGUCGGGUAAGUCUGAUGUGAAAUCUCCGAGCUUAACUCGGAAACUGCAUCGGAUACUAUUCGGCUCGAGGGUUGGAGGGGGGACUGGAAUUCAUGGUGUAGCAGUGAAAUGCGUAGAUAUCAUGAGGAACACCAGAGGCGAAGGCGGCUACCUGGACAGUUACUGACGCUCAGGCACGAAAGCGUGGGGAGCAAAAGGG
rnacentral:rRNA from 1 species